rnacentral:rRNA from 1 species
GAUGAACGCUGGCGGCGUGCCUAAUACAUGCAAGUAGAACGCUGAAGCUUGGUGCUUGCACCGAACGGAUGAGUUGCGAACGGGUGAGUAACGCGUAGGUAACCUGCCUCUUAGCGGGGGAUAACUAUUGGAAACGAUAGCUAAUACCGCAUAAAAGUCGAUAUCGCAUGAUAUUGAUUUGAAAGGUGCAAUUGCAUCACUAAGAGAUGGACCUGCGUUGUAUUAGCUAGUUGGUGAGGUAACGGCUCACCAAGGCGACGAUACAUAGCCGACCUGAGAGGGUGAUCGGCCACACUGGGACUGAGACACGGCCCAGACUCCUACGGGAGGCAGCAGUAGGGAAUCUUCGGCAAUGGGGGCAACCCUGACCGAGCAACGCCGCGUGAGUGAAGAAGGUUUUCGGAUCGUAAAGCUCUGUUGUAAGAGAAGAACGAGUGUGAGAGUGGAAAGUUCACACUGUGACGGUAACUUACCAGAAAGGGACGGCUAACUACGUGCCAGCAGCCGCGGUAAUACGUAGGUCCCGAGCGUUAUCCGGAUUUAUUGGGCGUAAAGCGAGCGCAGGCGGUUAGAUAAGUCUGAAGUUAAAGGCUGUGGCUUAACCAUAGUACGCUUUGGAAACUGUUUAACUUGAGUGCAGAAGGGGAGAGUGGAAUUCCAUGUGUAGCGGUGAAAUGCGUAGAUAUAUGGAGGAACACCGGUGGCGAAAGCGGCUCUCUGGUCUGUAACUGACGCUGAGGCUCGAAAGCGUGGGGAGCAAACAGG